rnacentral:rRNA from 1 species
UACGUAGGGUGCAAGCGUUGUCCGGAAUUAUUGGGCGUAAAGAGCUCGUAGGCGGUCUGUCGCGUCUGCUGUGAAAACUCGGGGCUUAACCCCGGGCCUGCAGUGGGUACGGGCAGACUAGAGUGCGGUAGGGGAGACUGGAAUUCCUGGUGUAGCGGUGAAAUGCGCAGAUAUCAGGAGGAACACCGGUGGCGAAGGCGGGUCUCUGGGCCGUAACUGACGCUGAGGAGCGAGAGCGUGGGGAGCGAACAGG